rnacentral:rRNA from 1 species
CAGCAGCCACGGGAAUACGUAGGGUGCAAGCGUUAAUCGGAUUUACUGGGCGUAAAGCGUGCGUAGGCGGCUUUUUAAGUCGGAUGUGAAAUCCCUGAGCUUAACUUAGGAAUUGCAUUCGAUACUGGGAAGCUAGAGUAUGGGAGAUGAUGGUAGAAUUCCAGGUGUAGCGGUGAAAUGCGUAGAGAUCUGGAGGAAUACCGAUGGCGAAGGCAGCCAUCUGGCCUAAUACUGACGCUGAGGUACGAAAGCAUGGGGAGCAAACAGGAUUAGAUACCCCUGUAGUCCCUGUCUCUUAUAC